AAGUGGGGGACACAACCGGGGACACAACUGGGGACACAACCGGGGACACAACCGGGGACACAACUGGGGACACAACCGGGGACACAACCGGAGAUACAACUGGAGACACAACUGGGGAUACAACUGGGGACACAACCGGGGACACAACCGGGGACACAACCGGGGAUACAACCAAGGACACAACCGGGAAAACAGCCAAGGACACAACUGGGGUUACAACCGGGGACACAACUGGGACACAACUGGGGACACAACCAAAGACACAGCCGGGGACACAACUGGGGAUACAACCGGGGACACAACCGGGGACACAACCGGGAAAACAGCCAAGGACACAACUGGGGUUACAACCGGGGAUACAACCGGGGACACAACCAGAGACACAACCGGGGACACAACCGGAGACAGAAAUCUCAACCGGUGACAGGAGGGGACAGAGCCGGGCACGUGGCGAGGAACGCAACCACGGUGCCACAGCGCAACAACGGGGACAAAGCGGUGACACAACCGCGGGGACAACACCACCACCAGGGCCACAACAACCAGAGCAGAGACCCUGUUCUGUGUACGGGGGCGUUCAGUUGUCACCGUGCCACCUCGUGUCACGUUGUCACCGUGGUGUGGGGGGUGUUGAGUGUCCGGCUGUGCCGGGGUGGGGCACACGUUGGGUUGUACCUCAGACUGUGUCAGAUGUGUCCGGCUGUGCCGGGGUGGGGCACACGUUGGGUUGUACCUCAGACUGUGUCAGAUGUGUCCGGCUGUGCCAGGUGAGGGCACAGGUUGGGUUGUACCUCAGACUGUGUCACCUCUGUCCGCCUGUGCGCGGUGAGGGCACAGGUUGGGUUGUACCUCAGACCGUGUCAGGUGUGUCCGCCUGUGCGCGGUGA
ensembl:lncRNA